rnacentral:rRNA from 1 species
UACGGAGGGUGCGAGCGUUGUCCGGAAUCAUUGGGCGUAAAGGGCGCGUAGGUGGCCCGGUCAGCGUGCGGUGAAAGCUCGGGGCUCAACCCCGAGUCGGCCGUGCGAACUGCUGGGCUUGAGCACUGUAGAGGCAGGCGGAAUUCCGGGUGUAGCGGUGGAAUGCGUAGAGAUCCGGAAGAACACCGGUGGCGAAGGCGGCCUGCUGGGCAGUGGCUGACACUGAGACGCGAAAGCGUGGGGAGCGAACAGG